GCGAACCCCGCCCACCGCCGCGGGCCAGCCACUCCCCGCUACGCCCACACAUGACCACGCCCACUCAGGGCCCCGCCCACACAGCUUUUUGCCUCCUUCCGACACCAAUUAUACCAGACCCCACCCACUCCACUCCAGCCAGAGCCGCCAGGGACCCCGCGCAUCCCAGGCGCCAGCCCACUGCAUCCAGUCCCCGCCCGCUGCCAGUUUGACCCGCCCCCCGCAGCCAUCUGGCCCUGCCCACUUCCCGUCGGCCCCGCCCCCACACGAGCUGCUCGCCUGGCAAUAUUGCUGGGUGGUGGGCACCUGCGUAUUUGUGGGUGCAUUGAGAAGUUCGCUCUUUGUGGAGGCCCUGCAGGGCUGGGACAGCUGUUGCCCUCGGAACUGCAGGGCACCAUCCAGAGAAGGCCUCGAGGUCCAGGCCUUGAGAGCCAGGUGCAGGCAGAUGCAAGAGGACCACUGAUAAGUGGCUGCUUGUGCUGAGCUUCAGCGUACCAUCAGUCUCCUAAGCAAAUGGCCUCUCCUGUGUGCCAUGCCACUGGGAUGGGGUGCAGUCAUGUGAGGUGUCUCACACACACUUGCUUCUGCUAGACUGUCAGGAUGUGGCCUCUUUGAAGGAUGUGCGCCUUCUGAAGAGCACUUUCUCCACCAAGGGUGCAGUGGAUCAUCCCACUGGAACAAAAUUGCUCAUUCGAGAGAAACCUUAGAGAAUCAAGAUUCUUAGGCCCAAUGGGCAGUAGUUGUUGAUUUAUCACCACAGUCUCCAAAUGGAAGUCUGAUACAGACACUGCUUCCCUAACACUUUCUUUGGUCGAAGUUUGUGAAAAACUUGACAAACUGAACUCAGAUACUCAGGUGCCCCCGAGAUGGUGGUGUCGUAGCCACCAGGUAGAUAUUAGCUAAAUUUCUCUGUGCAGCUACUUUUAAAGUACACGUGCAUUGACUGUUUUAAAUCAACACAGAGGAGGAGUAGUAAGGAGCAACUGAGGUCAUUUUGGAUCACGUGUCACUUGACAGCAUUUCCUGAAAGUGCUUGACCAGGAGCCCAAGCCUCAAGUUCCCUUAGACACACUCAGGGCACAGUGUACGCUCUCUAAGGAAUGAAGGGUAUUUACAGCAGUGAGUCCUGGUCCAGCCUGAGCUCUUCACGUAUCUCUUCUGAACAGGGCCUUUGUGCUCAAGAUGCCUGUGCUCAGGGGACAUCUCAGGUGCUCUAGGAGUAUUACUCCAAGGCUUGUCUGCACAGAGACUCUAACUCUGUAAGUCACCAGGGCUGAAGAUGCUAACUCAUGUGUGCUCUAAACACAAGCCACCAUUUCAGUCUGUUUUGUGCACCUGUAACAACCACCUGAGCAAUGCAUAAUGAAGGACACUUAUUUCCAGGCUGGGGGUGAGCUCAGUAGUGGAGCACGUGAUCAACAGCCAUAGCCCUUGGGGUUCCAUGCCCAGACACAACACCUUCCAGUGCUGGAGGCUGAGAAGCGCAGGACAAGGCAUUGCAUCCAGUGAAGGCUCCGUGGUGUCACCGCAUGGCAAAGGGGGAAAGGGUGCAGUGCUCAGUGUUACAACAGCGCAAAUUCCCAUGAGGGAGAGGUCCCCACAGCCUCAUCCCUCCACAGUGACAGUGGACACCAGCAUAGGUUUGGAAGAAUUAUAGUUUUUUUUGGUACUGGGGAUCACGAUCUCAUAACCUUGACUUGCCAGGCAGGUGCUUACACCGCUGAGCUAAAUCUCCAGCUCUUCAAGGAUAGGUUUGGGAAGGGGCAAACUUGAAACCUGGAAAGGAAGACUGAAGACCCAUCUGAGGGAACCACAUGGUGGGGAAUGUGUCAGGAACCCUGACCAAGUCACAGUGACAUCACCUGCAUCCCACUUGUUAUUAGUGCAUUGAUGGCCUCUGCUAAGGCUGCACUUGGGUCAGGGAAUAGGGCGGGGAGAACCGGUGUCACAGCACUGGCCAAGGCCACCAGCUCUCAGGCAUCCUCUUGUCUGGUGGGAUCUGCUUUUGCUGUGGGUUACUCCGUUGUGUCCUUGGUUCAAAGUACUUGUCAUUGUUUUUGUCACACUGUCAAGAUACCAUCCCAUUGCAUCCUGCCAUUGUCAAGCCAUUGCCAUGAUGAUGUGAAACACAAAGAUCUCCCGAUACAGCCAGCUGAGUACCUCAAGUUGUGAAGGUCUCCUGCCAUCUUGGAUUGGUCAAGGAAACAAGAUCAAAGCUAAGAGGGGAGCCUUGGAGCCCAGCAGCCAGGCCACACAGCAGGAUUCCUCAUACAGUGUCUGCCCCAAGCCCUGUGACUCUAGUCUCCAUGGUAAUUAUACCAGAAUGGUCAGGACGUGGUCAAUUACCACCAACUUCUCUAUUUUUUGCCAUUUCUAACUCAGAGCCAACCAGAGAAAGCCAAGUGUGUUCCUCUAACAAGAACCCAAAGUGUCCUGCUGCUGUCCAGCAGCCAGCAGCUUCCAGCUUUGGCAGACCUGAAGCCUCCCCACACCUGUUUUUCCCUGACAGAGUAUUCCCUCUUCUCUGCUUGCUUUGGAGUUUUUGCCAGAAGAUGCCAGGUAAAGCCAGAUGAUUCCAUUACUGUACAACUCCUGGGUGAAGGACUCCUCCCUGCUGUCAUUCAAGUGAUUUGGUUUAGUUUUGUGCAAUGGAAGUAGAAUAGUACUCCUUAGCCAUGGUUUUUUUUUUUCCAUGUGGCAGUUACUCAAGAUGUGAAAUUCAAUGAAAAUAAGACUCUGAAAAGAAGAAAUAAGAUUCUGUGUCUUAGCUUUUGUGCUCUUUCUUGAGUAGCACAAGACAUUCCUCAAGGUGAGCCACAAGCCCUGCCCUGCCCAGUGUACCCACGUGGAACCCACCACCCACUGGCUCGUCCUCACAAGGUGGCCGUCCUGACUGUCAGAAUGGAGCAUUUGCUCUGUCUGGUUUCCCACAUCCACUGGAGUCUUGCAUAUCUCUCUGGAAGAUAAGAGAUGACUGCUGGAUACAUAACUAGGUAGCUCUUUUUUUUGGUCUUUUUCUUUUUUAUAGGUACCGGGGAUCGAACUCAGGACGACACACUUGCAAGGCAGGUGCUUAUGCCACUGAGCUAAACCCCUAGCUCCAUAACUAGGUAGCUCUUCUUUUUUUUUUUUUUUUUUUUUGUGGCACUGGGGAUUAAACUCACGACCUUGUGCUUGCCAGGCAGGUACUUACACCACUGAGCUAAAUCCCCGGCCAACUAGGUAGCUCUUAAAAAGCACAAUUUCCUGUGACAAAGCUUCCUUUACUUCCUCCAGUGGGUCUGGUGAAGGGUCAGAAUUUUUCCAUGCUCAAUGUUAUUCCUUUUUUUUUUUUUUUUUUUUUUGGUCUUUUUUUGAGACAGGGCGCACUAUGCAGUUCAGGCUGGCCUCAGCCUUGCAGUGAUCCUCCUGCCUUUGUCUCCUGAGUGCUGCAAUUACAGAGUUAUUUAACUUCCUGUAAUUGUACUUUGCCUUCCAGACGCUGAUGUAGCUCCACACCCUUGAUGCGCUCCUUUGCCCUGGGACUCUGAGGAUUUCAACCUCCCAGAUCCCGUAGGCACAGCUUGCAGGAAAGUGUUUAAGUCUUAGCAUCUCUCAGAAGAGACUCAUGGGUAGGGAAAUUGCAGAGGACCUCACUGGGGAGGGGGCUCUGGGCCAGGGUGCUAGUGCUGGCCCCACAGUCCUCCGGCCAAACCCUUGUGUCUCGCAGCCUCAUGUGCCGUCUUCACUUGGAUGAGACCCCAGGUCCCCAAGAUGGAGAACCCCAAGACCCAUCCCUCCACUAGGCGUGUGGAUGGAGACUGGCAUACUGGCAGAUAUCAUUUAUGCUGCCCACAAAGAUAAGCAAAAUGCUAGAACACCUGAGAUGGACUUCGUAUUUUUAUUGAAGAAGCUGACAUUUUGCAUGGUAAAUAUCAUCUAUAUAUGAAAUGUCAAUAUUCUCUUCUUCUCCAAAACAAUGACUAUUAAUUUUUAGCUUUAGAAUGAACUUUCCUUACCUUGCUUGCUGGCAUCAUUGCCAACUGGAACUGCACAGUGUCAUUGAGAAGGACACAACCUGUGGUCUCUCCUGCAUGAAUGGCUGGACCUGUUGAUAUCCUCUGUGCCACCUGGCCCAGUUCUCAUCGCCCCGUGUGACCUGCCCCAUGCUCCCCCUCCCCGCAGAGGCUCAGCUGAGAUCCAGGUCCAGUGAUGAAUACAUCCCUAUCAUUCACAGCACUCAAAAGCACAGAGCAGAGACAAGCCACGGUUUCCCUGGGGUGUCUGAGGUGUCUGCCUGGUGAACCAGGGAGUGAAGCUGGCAGUCUUGGAGUCACAUGAUCAGCUGGGCCUUGCUGAAGGACACAGGGAAUACCCAAAUUGAGCCACAGGCUCUGGGUCCAUGUCAUCUUGACUGAAAUGGUAUUUCUGGUCAGUCCUAGCUCCCUCUACAAAGUUCUUGCAAAGUUCCAACCAACGCUGCUGCCUGUCACAGAGAGGGCAGAGGCUGAGCAUGUCCACCAGAGGCCAGGCCUGCAGUAUGUGCACCCUGAAACCCUCUGGCUUGUGGCCAGAGGUAAAGAGACUGAAGCAUCUCCUGUACCAUCCUCCAAAUGUGCUGAGUGCUUAAAGAGUAGAGGGACCCUCUCUCCCUUCUCCACAGCUCUGGGGAGAGUGCUUUCUUUAUGUGGGUGGUCAUGAGGAUUUUCUGUGUGUUUUCCUUUGCAUAUACUUAUCCAAGCCCAGUCUCACACAAACUCAGAUUUCCACCCAGGUGAGCUAGCCUCAUGGCAAGGUCAGGAAACAAAAGAAAUGAGCACCUGGUGUUCCUCACAGGGUGUUGCUGCUCUUGGAAAGCGACUGACAGGACUUUGCUACUCUCAGCCAGGGUCUUUCGCCCCUCCAAGGUAAAGGCUGCAGCAGGCUCAAGAGACAGUGUGGUGGUGUGGAAGGUUUGUCACACGUUGAAAGGCAAACACUACCCAGAGCUACUCUCUUCUGUCCAGCCUCUGUGGUCCAGACUGGAGAAAGGUGCUGUGAGCAGACAUAGGUCCUGAGGGCUGGGCCAUGGCUGCCGAGUGCAAAGGCUGUGCACACACACGUGUGCAGGAAGAAACAGGGCAUGGAGUGUACCAGUCAGGUCUAUGUUAGUGAUAGAUCACCUUUGGUCACUGCUCUGUCUGCUCCUGGCAGGGCUUGGGUCCCACCUAGGGAGAAGGCCCGAGGGCAGCAAGGAUGCUGUGUGGCCCCACAUGGGCAUGCGGGUUUCCGAAUGUGGAGUUUAGUAACACACUGGUUCUAUUCAUACUCCUAAUGUGCUCCAGCUACAAGUGCUCAGCUGAGGACAUGGCAGAGGACCUUGAGGGCCUGCGCUUAGCAUGGACCCCUCUGCGAGGAAGGCAGCCUGGAGCCAGGAGUGGGUACAUGUUCGGCAACUACUGCCACCAAUCAGGUCACAUGGCUUCAGUGGGAGCCCCAUCUUUGGAAACUACCAGUCCCCAUGUGGCCUCCGUGACAGAUUCCCAUGUUCGCAAUGUCAAAAUGGAAAUGUAUGUAAAUGUCAAAAUCACAGGUCUGGUAUUGCCAACUAGGAAGUUAAAAAAAAUAAGUGCACAUUUAAUGAUAUACGAUUUUAUUUACACAACUGAAAUGACUUCCUUAGUCACCUUGACUACAAAAACAAAUGAACACAGCAUGGUUUUAUAACCUUUCUUAAAUGGAAUUCACACAUUUAACAGCUGACAGAUUGCUACUUAAUACUCAGGAACACUUAACACUUAGCAAUGCCUGCAUAUAUGUGAAUGAAGUUGUCUGACAGGACUAAUAGACAUGGUAUCUUAUAACUCACAUGGCUGGGUUACUAGGCAACCAUUAGUCCUCCAUCCUUGGGUGAGUGUUCGGACCCAGAGGUCUCACGCCAUGAGAAUAAACUAACUGUAAAACUCA